CCUACGGGUGGCUGCAGUGGGGAAUAUUGGACAAUGGGGGGAACCCUGAUCCAGCCAUGCCGCGUGUGUGAAGAAGGCCCUCGGGUUGUAAAGCACUUUCAGUGAGGAAGAACGCCUGGUGGUUAAUACCCAUCAGGAAAGACAUCACUCACAGAAGAAGCACCGGCUAACUCCGUGCCAGCAGCCGCGGUAAUACGGAGGGUGCGAGCGUUAAUCGGAAUUACUGGGCGUAAAGCGCGCGUAGGUGGCUUGAUAAGCCGGUUGUGAAAGCCCCGGGCUCAACCUGGGAACGGCAUCCGGAACCGUCAAGCUAGAGUGCAGGAGAGGAAGGUAGAAUUCCCGGUGUAGCGGUGAAAUGCGUAGAGAUCGGGAGGAAUACCAGUGGCGAAGGCGGCCUUCUGGACUGACACUGACACUGAGGUGCGAAAGCGUGGGUAGCAAACAGGAUUAGAUACCCCGGUAGUC
rnacentral:rRNA from 1 species